AUUAAGGCUUGAUGAGCUAAAAUUCAGCAGUAUAAAGCAUUCAGACCUUUCCUACUAACUUAGCAUCACUACCUUUAUGCUUCCACUUCCACUUCCUCUACUUCAGCUUCUCAACCAGUCUGUAAUGAGAAAAAUACUAUGGAGUUACUGUAAUUACAGAAAUAAGAUCUGUCCUUUGAACCAUAUACAGGAGAGAACCACCAGAUUAGUUUGUAUGGGUGUGCCCCACCUCUAUGAUUGACAAUCUACUGGUGUUCCUGGUCUUUGCUAAUCUAAAAGGAUGUAAUUAUUAACCAGCAAAAACGCCACUCCUUCACAUGCAUCCCACGUGUAGUCCUCUGCAGAACUGCCACCAGUCACUGCUACUGUUGUUAGGACCAGACACAGAACAGCAUCAUUUAGCAAGCUGAGGAUCCUCAACACUGAUCUAGUGUGUGUAAUAGAAAACAGAAGUUCACAUGGAGGAGAAGGCUAUAUAUUGAGUAAAUUUCUAUGUUCUUGGUGUGCCUACUCUUAUACCAGUGGUGAAGAGCUGCACCCACAGCUUCAUCAGCAACUAUGGUUCCUCUCCUCUAACCUCUGUAUCUCAAGAUAUCUGAAUGUGGAACUGUUCAGUAGUGCUUCCUCCUUGGUUUCAUGAUGACAUCUAUUCUUUCCAAAGAUGUGAUAAUCCAUUGUCAAGAACAUAAAAGGCUCUCCUAUAAUAUUUUGUGUGCAAGCAGACUGACUGUCCAUUGCUACAUCAUGCCAUUUUGAAAAACUGUAGGUGUAGCAAUCUGCAGUGGCAGUGUGAGGAUGGAAAACUGGGGACCAUUUACCACUUGCUGCCAAGAGGUGUAUCUGUCCUCUCUCCUGUCUCUCUGAUGCUGUGGAUUGAUAGCACCAGCCAUGCCUGCCUACACCAGUUGAAGAACUUACUGCUUUUCUUCUGAAUACAGACUGUAGAUGUGCUUCUUCAGCCCCUUUGGAGAUAGAAGACAUGAUCAUGUCUCUGAAUCACAGACUACUGGAGGCUGUGAGAACGCACAGAACUUAUAUAUUCUAUGCUUGCCUUGUUUGUAUGCUCUCCCCAUGGCACCUGCUAAUCAUCACUGUUGGGAAUUGAACACUAAAAUUCUAAAGAGGAUAAAGAGGUCGUGGGUUUUACCUGUUAUGGCUGUUCUUACUGUUUAUUUCUAUAUGGCUCCAGGAAGACAGCAGCUACUCUGCAGCUUGUCAUUCAGUAGGGACAUACUUUUCACUUUUCUGGCCAUGUGCAGUCAAGAAGAGGGAGAAGCUAAAGAAAUAUGUAAAAGUGUGAAGAAAAGUAUUUGGCCUUUCCACAUAAACAUACAAGAGAGAAAGACAAUGAAAGCAGGGAAUACAAUGAAAAGGUAG
rnacentral:lncRNA from 1 species